GGACAAAUAUGACGGAAAAGUGGCAUUGGAUGUGGCUGCCACAGCGCACCCACCCUUCCUGUGGUGCCCCUAGCGUCGCGAGGGAGGCACCACCCAUGUUCCAAGGCCGGAGCCACUGCCAGGCCAGACUACGACCGGUUCAUCUCCCCGCUGGAAAUUGCCUUAGGCCCACAUCAUCUUCAUCUCCAUUCUAAGUCAGGGCAAAACCACUACCCGGCCUGGACUGCACCAGCUGCAAGGCCUUCUUAAAAACGGAAAUUUGGCCCCGCAGAACUUUUAAGCCAAGUGGCUGUCAUUCAUCAAACACCUCUUUUCUUUCCUAAUUACCCUGCUGGAGCUCCAAGAGGACACAAAAGGGACAGACCCCGAGUUAGCGCAAGGCCAGACUCAAGCUCGCGGAAUCACGAAGACGUGCAGAAACGGACAAGGGCGAGUACACAAAUUUACAAAUACAAAAAUGAAUCUUAAAAUCUAAUUACAGGCGCGGCGAGUAAGCC